GAUGAACGCUGGCGGCGUGCCUAAUACAUGCAAGUCGAGCGAAUGGAUUAAGAGCUUGCUCUUAUGAAGUUAGCGGCGGACGGGUGAGUAACACGUGGGUAACCUGCCCAUAAGACUAGGAUAACUCCGGGAAACCGGGGCUAAUACCGGAUAACAUUUUGAACCGCAUGGUUCGAAAUUGAAAGGCGGCUUCGGCUGUCACUUAUGGAUGGACCCGCGUCGCAUUAGCUAGUUGGUGAGGUAACGGCUAACAAAGGCAACGAUGCGUAGCCGACCUGAGAGGGUGAUCGGCCACACUGGGACUGAGACACGGCCCAGACUCCUACGGGAGGCAGCAGUAGGGAAUCUUCCGCAAUGGACGAAAGUCUGACGGAGCAACGCCGCGUGAGUGAUGAAGGCUUUCGGGUCGUAAAACUCUGCUGUUAGGGAAGAACAAGUGCUAGUUGAAUAAGCUGGCACCUUGACGGUACCUAACCAGAAAGCCACGGCUAACUACGUGCCAGCAGCCGCCGUAA
rnacentral:rRNA from 1 species